UUAUAUUGAUUUACUGUUUCAUAAUCAAGCAAAUCUCCCAGGAUCUGGGUCUUUCACAUCUGCAGGAUCUCUCUUCUUUUUAUUUGCCUUAGAAAAGAGAAAAAGAAGUCCCCACCUCAACCUACAUAAAACAUCAUUCUUUAUUUCUUUCAUGCACUGUGGUCUCUUCUUAUCAUGUCAAGGAGUUGAGUGAUCAAUCAAACAAAGUGUGCUUUUCCUGCUUUCCUCCAUGCUGCUUUCUGUUUUUCCUGAAAACCUUCCUCUCUCCAUGCAUAAAAGGAAAAAUAUAUAUAUGGCAAAAGUUAUAUAGCUAACUUUUCAUUAUAUUUUUGACCUCACCAACCAACAUAAUAAAAAUUUCUCCAGAAGAAUACCAUCAAAGUCGGGGAACAAGAAGAAUUUUUAUAGAGAUAUUUUGGGAUCUUUUUGACAGAAAACCAUGCCAAGACAGGUUCCAUCCGGUACAUAAUUUUGGAAGCAAGAAGACAAUUUAAGGGCGGCCCAAACUCAAGCCUGGGUGGCUCAACAGGUGAAACAUCAAGGAAUUAUAGCAGACUGGGUGCAGGCAAUUAAGUUUGUAAAGUCAUGAAACAUGAAGGAUUCAAGUUAUG